CAAGGUUAAAACUCAAAUGAAUUGACGGGGGCCCGCACAAGCGGUGGAGCAUGUGGUUUAAUUCGAUGCAACGCGAAGAACCUUACCUGGUCUUGACAUCCACAGAACUUAGCAGAGAUGCUUUGGUGCCUUCGGGAACUGUGAGACAGGUGCUGCAUGGCUGUCGUCAGCUCGUGUUGUGAAAUGUUGGGUUAAGUCCCGCAACGAGCGCAACCCUUAUCCUUUGUUGCCAGCGGUUCGGCCGGGAACUCAAAGGAGACUGCCAGUGAUAAACUGGAGGAAGGUGGGGAUGACGUCAAGUCAUCAUGGCCCUUACGACCAGGGCUACACACGUGCUACAAUGGCAUAUACAAAGAGAAGCGACCUCGCGAGAGCAAGCGGACCUCAUAAAGUAUGUCGUAGUCCGGAUUGGAGUCUGCAACUCGACUCCAUGAAGUCGGAAUCG
rnacentral:rRNA from 1 species